GAUGAACGCUGGCGGCGUGCCUAACACAUGCAAGUCGAGCGAUUUACUUCGGUAAAGAGCGGCGGACGGGUGAGUAACGCGUGGGUAACCUGCCCUGUACACACGGAUAACAUACCGAAAGGUAUGCUAAUACGAGAUAAUAUGCUUUUAUCGCAUGGUAGAAGUAUCAAAGCUUUUGCGGUACAGGAUGGACCCGCGUCUGAUUAGCUAGUUGGUGAGGUAACGGCUCACCAAGGCGACGAUCAGUAGCCGACCUGAGAGGGUGAUCGGCCACAUUGGAAAUGAGGCACGGUCCACACUCCUACGGGAGGCAGCAGUGGGGAAUAUUGCACAAUGAGAGAAAGCCUGAUGCAGCACCGCCGCGUGAGCGAUGAAGGCCUUCGGAUCGUAAAGCUCUGUCCUCAAGGAAGAUAAUGACGGUACUUGAGGAGGAAGCCCCGGCUAACUACGUG
rnacentral:rRNA from 1 species